UACAGAGGGGGCAAGCGUUGUUCGGAAUUACUGGGCGUAAAGAGCUCGUAGGUGGUUUGUCGCGUUGUUCGUGAAAACUCACAGCUUAACUGUGGGCGUGCGGGCGAUACGGGCAGACUGGAGUACUGCAGGGGAGACUGGAAUUCCUGGUGUAGCGGUGGAAUGCGCAGAUAUCAGGAGGAACACCGGUGGCGAAGGCGGGGUCUCUGGGCAGUAACUGACGCUGAGGAGCGAAAGCGUGGGGAGCGAACAGG
rnacentral:rRNA from 1 species